rnacentral:rRNA from 1 species
AGCGAACGCUGGCGGCAGGCCUAACACAUGCAAGUCGAACGAACCCUUCGGGGUUAGUGGCGGACGGGUGAGUAACACGUGGGAACGUGCCUUUAGGUUCGGAAUAACUCAGGGAAACUUGUGCUAAUACUGAAUGUGCCCUUCGGGGGAAAGAUUUAUCGCCUUUAGAGCGGCCCGCGUCUGAUUAGCUAGUUGGUGAGGUAAUGGCUCACCAAGGCUACGAUCAGUAGCUGGUCUGAGAGGAUGACCAGCCACAUUGGGACUGAGACACGGCCCAAACUCCUACGCGAGGCAGCAGUGGGGAAUCUUGCGCAAUGGGCGAAAGCCUGACGCAGCCAUGCCGCGUGGAUGAUGAAGGUCUUAGGAUUGUAAAAUCCUUUCACCGGUGAAGAUAAUGACUGUAGCCGGAGAAGAAGCCCCGGCUAACUUCGUGCCAGCAGCCGCCGUAAUAC